AUGCGCCGCCCCUCCAUGCGCGAGGCCGCCGUCGCCCGCUCCCUAUCCAAAUCCCUGGCCCUCACCCACCCCGUCGUGUUUCUUCUGUUGGCCCCCUCUGUCGCCUCCGACCACUCCAUCCACUCGUUCGACCACCGCGCCUUCCUCCUCAUUGAUUCCCUCCUCGUCCCCACCUCCCUCACGAUCGUCAACUCGGGUCCUCGUUUCCGGGGCCAGUACCAGUGCCACACCUUCACGGCGGAGUCGACAAUGCCGUGGCCGCCGCGUCAGCCGACAAACAUCGGAGAGCAGAAGGCGAUGGAUGGGAUGAUGGAUGCGUUCCGGGAUGCUGAGGAUGUUGGACAGGUGGAGGAGAUGUAUUCCGGGAUGCUAAGGAGGUUGGAGAGGCUUGCUCGGGAGGCGGAGGGGGGCAAUAAGCGGCUGCUCCGUCAGGAAAAUAAGAACUUAUUGGCAUGGAGAAAAAUUGUUGGGCUGAAGACUUGGAAGUACGGGCCAAGAUCUUGUUCUCAGUAA
rnacentral:rRNA from 1 species